AAGAAACAAUUUCCAUUGUCUGUUCCCAGACCUCUGCUCUCUCUGCCAGCUCUGGGUCACUGAGGCUUUGCAGUGAUGUGAUAGUUCAUAUAUGCCAACACGUUCAAUCACUGUCUGGAAAACGAACCACACACACACACACACACACACACACACACACACACACACACACACACACACACACACACACACACACACACACACACACACACACACACACACACACACACACACACACACACACACACACACACACUGUUAUUAGCCAUCUAUGCUCUCUGUGGACUAUCUUGGUCUGGGUGGGUUUAUUUUAGCCUCUGCAUGGCUGCAUGUCUACUAGGACACUCUCACCUGCUGGUCUUUUCUCUGUGGGCGGCAUGAUGGCCAGAGAACAGUCAUACCAGGCCACCAGUCAACAGUCAUACCAGGCCACCAGUCAACAGUCAUACCAGGGCACUAUAGUCAACAGUCAUACCAGGGCACUAUAGUCAACAGUCAUACCAGGGCACCAGUCAUCAGUCAUAGCAUGGCACUAUAGUCAACAGUCUUACCAGGGCACUAAAAUCAACAGUCAUACCAGGCCACCAGUCAACAGUCAUACCAGGGCACUAUAGUCAACAGUCAUACCAGGGCACUAUAGUCAUCAGUCAAACCAGGGCUAUAGUCAACAGUCUUACCAGCACACUAAAAUCAACAGUCAUACCAGGCCACCAGUCAAUAGUCAUGCCAGGGCAUUAUAGACAACAGUCAUAGCAGGGCACUAUAGUCAACAGUCAUACCAGGGCACUAUAGUCAACAGUCAAACCAGGGCAAUAGUCAUCAGUCAUACCAGGGCACUAUAGUCAACAGUCAAACCAGGGCAAUUGUCAUCAGUCAUACCAGGGCACUAUAGUCAACAGUCAUACCAGGGCACUAUAGUCAACAGUCAUACCAGGGCACUAUAGUCAACAGUCAUACCAGGGCACUAUAGUCAACAGUCAUACCAGGGCACUAUAGGCACUAUAGUCAACAGUCAUGCCAGGGCACUAUGGUCAACAGUCAUAACAGGGAACUAAAGUUAACAGUCAUACCAGGGCACUA
ensembl:lncRNA